UACGUAGGGUGCAAGCGUUUGUCCGGAAUUAUUGGGCGUAAAGAGCUCGUAGGCGGUCUGUUGCGUCGGCUGUGAAAACCCGGGGCUCAACUCCGGGCCUGCAGCCGAUACGGGCAGACUAGAGUUCGGCAGGGGGAGACUGGAAUUCCUGGUGUAGCGGUGAAAUGCGCAGAUAUCAGGAGGAACACCGGUGGCGAAGGCGGGUCUCUGGGCCGAUACUGACGCUGAGGAGCGAAAGCGUGGGGAGCGAACAGG
rnacentral:rRNA from 1 species